AUUACAAGAAGAAGAAAAAAAC
rnacentral:sRNA from 1 species